CUAAUCACUGAAUAUUUAACGAAAUGUUGAAUUUGAGACAUUUCACAAAAACAUUACAAAAUAUGCAUAUUCCACACAAAGCCAACAGCAUCAAAACACCUACUGACAUGGUUAGAAUCCAUGUUGG